AUGGCUAUGGCAAGCCAGCUCUAGCGUGCGCGUAGCACGAUACAAUGUGCAGGGUGCAUUUUGGGGCAGCCUGCGUCACAGGGGGGGCUGAAGUGCUGUUUGCCCGGCUCUGCCGUGCAGCUAAGAGCCCUGCCUCUCCUUAAACCUUAAGGAGCCACUGAUGAUGACCAACCAUGUUUUCAGCGUAAUGGUGUCACUGUCACCAGCUGGAUCAUAUGGCAGGUGGCCUUCAUGCACUGAGCACACGACACACACAGCGAUGGGACUUCUGACUGCCCACCAUCAUCGGGACAGGAGGGGACGUUAAUUAAGCCGUGAGUUCUGCUUCAGCGAGCAGAGCAAUUUCACCCUUGUGCUGUUUUAAUGAGCAGAAAAGGAGAACUGGAAGUUCCACGCGAACAGCUGCGGUUCCGCUGGCUCCCCCGUUCUGGGCCCAAAGCCCGGUUCCACUCCAGCAUGCUUCCAGCUAAUGACAAUAACACAAACUCUCUCUCGCAGACAUCCAAAGGCAGCUUACACUGACAUCUACACAGAGCAGUGCUACAUGUCAGUAUGUGGCUAUGAGGGAUUCCUGUAAAGCACAAGCAGUAUUGACUCAGUGCUGUGCUAGAGAUCUGAUGGUCCGGGGCAACAACUACUUACAGCCACUUUCUCCAACUUCCAUGGCCUGCUAAUUAUUAAGUACUAAUUAUUACAGCAGUCUAAAGCCAGCACACCUAAUAUCACACCAUAGUGAAUAACACUCAGUGUGUGAUACCGUCUCCGCGUGAGCUGAUCUCACUUGUCACACACAUUGCACAUUGUCACUUUUACGGUCACGAGGAGCUUGCCCAAAGUCUGCACCUGGAU